rnacentral:lncRNA from 1 species
GCUGGUGUGACGAAUAAUCUAGUGGACGGAACGCUUCUUUCAACAGCAGCAACAGUUAGUCAGACACCUCGGUAGCUUGCUAGACAAAAUAGCCAAACCAAUAAAGCUCUUUAGACGCUUUUGUGUUUAUUAGCCACUGUGUUUUAAACCCACUUCUGUUGUCUAGUUAAUUAUCCGAUUUAAUUUCAUAUUUACUUGGUUGUUUUUGGUCAAAUAGCUGCCUGGUUAAGUUAGCACUAGCCAAGCUAGCUAACAUCCCCGACCAUGAGGUCACUAAGUUACUCUCCUGUUAAAGAAGUGAAAGAGGAGGAGGAAGGAGGAUGUUACAAUACAAAAACAAGUAGAGGGUGAGGCUGUUACAGUGAAAGAAGAAGAGAAAGACGUUUCAGUGAAAGAAGAGAAAGAUGCGUUCAGAGUGAAAGAGGAGGAGGAUGUUACAGUAAAAGAAGAGUGAGUAUUCAGUUUGUGUAGUGGAAGAGAGGGAGAUGACUGUCACAUCGAAAAUGGAGGAGGAAGAAGAGGAGGGAACUGAAUACCUGGGCCCGGUUUCCAAAGGGCAUCUUAAUCCAAUGGUUCUAACGGUGAACUUAGCCAUAAGAUGGUUUUGAGAAACCGUUCCAUGAUUAACACUAGACACACGAGACUGGGGAAAUAUAGGACCAAGCACCGAGAAUGUAAAAUUGGCUGGUGCUGGGGCAGUCAAAAGCAGAGCUGUGGGAGACCACCUCAAUCCCCUGGUAGAGCCGGAGGUGGUGUUUACCACUCCACCACACCUGCAGCAGGCUUGAAACGUGGGAUUGAUACUGAUUUUCAUACUAAGAGGGACCAAGAGUCUGUUGAUUGGUCAGUCAUUGGGUUCAUUUGUUGAAAUCAAAUCCAGCUUUAUUUAUACAGCACAUUUCAGACAUGGAUGCAACACAAUGGCUUCACAGGAAAAAACAAGUAAAGUAAUGAAAAGAAACAGAAAUAUUUAGUACACAACAAACAGAAGACUAACAACUGAAUGGGCACCCCAAGGAAAUGCCAUGGAUUAAAAUAUUAAUUGGAUGCAAUAUCCAACCCAAAAUACAAGCUUGUUGUUUUUUUAGGAGGGGCUCUGAAAGACUAUGGGAGUGUCCACUGAAUCUUGACAAGUAACAACAACUGGGACCGAAAAGACACCCACUAAAUCUGUCCAUGAAGAGGCAAACAAAAGAAAAACCCACAACAAACUUAGACAGGACGCAACCAAAAAGGUGGUUAAAAUAAUUUAUUACAAUCAAUACCAUUCAUACUAUUACAAAAUCAUAAUUCUCAUUCAUUCUUAAUUAAUUAUAUUUACAAAAACAUCAAACAAAAACAAACCUCAGGGGAGCAUCGUCCCUCCCCGUCAUACCUAACCAAUACCUAACCCUUUCCCUAUCUCCCCUUCCCUAAUCUAUCCCCUUMCCAAACUCACUCUAACACUCCCAGCCCUAAACCCCCUUUCCACCUCUCCCGUGCCGCAUGCUUCCCCCACUUCCUCUCCUCCCUCUUCAUCUUCCCCCUCAAAUCACC